AGUCCAAGGGCCAGGAAGGCCUGAGUAGGGAGGGCUGGGCUUCCCACCCUGGCUCCUCCACUUCCCAGGCGUGGGAGGAAGGGGUUGGUCUAUGAGCUGGAAUACUGGAGAAGCCAACAGUGCGUGCAGUGUGCAGGAAGGCUCAGAUUCUUGAAUGCCCUUUAAGGGUCAUGCUGAAAGUGUGAUGCAGGGCACCACCUGGCAUCAUGAAGAUGGGCAUCUGGCCAGCAGGCAGCAGUGCCCAGGUUCUGCUCCAGGUGCCCGCUCCCCUUCCCCCCCGCCCCAGGUCAGCCAAAGCCUCUCCAAGGUGCCAGAGAAGUGGCGGCAGCUCAGGUGGUGCACGCGGGCCAGCGGCAGCCUCCACCGUUGAUGGGUGUUGGCCAGGGAGAGGCAGGUUCUCACUCCUCUGGAGGGGGCUGCAGGGACAGCGCCAGCCCCUUCCUCCAUCGGAGAGCUUGACAGAGGUCCUGGGCCCUGGCUCCUGCUUCCUCACCCGCAGAGGCAGCCGCUGGUGACCUGCUGAAGGCUGGGGUCAAGCCAGAGGACUGUUGCCUGCAGAGCACUGUCACAGCAUUGGCCAGGGGGACAUGAGCACUUGGUCAGAAGCCUGGUGGGAGUCUGGAGUCCCCAAUUUCCUCUUGGCCUUAGAUCCCCUCCCUGGGUCUCUACACGCAAGACUCACCUCCAAAGGAGAGCCCUGUGCUUCCGCCUCCGCCAGUGGUGGCCGACUGGAGCGUGGGGACCUGGCUGGCCAUCCUGAACAUGCUGUGAUAUGGGGAGAAAAGUCGCCAUGCACAUCAUCUAGCACCAAGGAGGACUCGGGUCUCCACUGCUUCCCAGUCAGCGACCUCCCAGUGCACAGCCUGCACAACUCCUGAUGCAGUUUUAGCCAUUUCCUUACAUGAAGAAAGAGAACAGAGCCCCUUCUUCCUGACAAGAACCUCAUCAGACUCCUCUCAUCCUUUCCUGGAGCUUCUCCUCUUUGUGCGGUACUUUGGGUGGGUGCGGAUGUGAAUGCAGGGUGAUGUAUGGGUGUGGACA